AUGGCCACAUCAUAAUGAAACACCAAUUCCUGUACGAUCACCAAAGUUAAGCAACAUCUAGCCUGAUCACUACCUAAAUGGGUGACCACUUGGGAUUACCAAGUGCUGUAA